AUUGGUGUUCGGUGUGGCUUGUGUAGGAUAGGUGGGAGACUAUGAAGCGGGCACGCCAGUGUUCGUGGAGUCAUUGUUGAAAUACCACUCUGGUCACUCUGGAUGUCUAACUACGAACCGUAAUCCGGUUCUGGGACAGUGCCUGGUGGGUAGUUUAACUGGGGCGGUUGCCUCCCAAAGAGUAACGGAGGCGCCCAAAGGUUCCCUCAACCUGGUUGGCA
rnacentral:rRNA from 1 species